UACGAGGGGGGGCAAGCGUUUGUUCGGAAUUAUUGGGCGUAAAGGGCGCGUAGGCGGUUUGGCAAGUUUCGUGUGAAAUCUUCGGGCUCAACUCGAAGUCUGCACGGAAAACUGCCGGGCUUGAGUAUGGGAGAGGUGAGUGGAAUUUCCGGUGUAGCGGUGGAAUGCGUAGAGAUCCGGAAGAACACCGGUGGCGAAGGCGGUCUGCUGGGCCAAGACUGACGCUGAGGCGCGACAGCGUGGGGAGCAAACAGG
rnacentral:rRNA from 1 species